rnacentral:rRNA from 1 species
AGAGUUUGAUCCUGGCUCAGGACGAACGCUGGCGGCGUGCCUAACACAUGCAAGUCGAGCGGAGCCUAGCGAAAGAUUUAUCUUUUGCGAAAGCUUAGCGGCGGACGGGUGAGUAACGCGUGGGCAACCUGCCUCGUACAGGGGGAUAACACCGGGAAACCGGUGCUAAUACCGCAUAACCUCAACAUAAGACAUCUUAUGUUGAGCAAAGGAGAAAUCCGGUAUGAGAUGGGCCCGCGUCCGAUUAGCUAGUUGGUGGAGUAAGAGCCUACCAAGGCAACGAUCGGUAGCCGAACUGAGAGGUUGAUCGGCCACAUUGGGACUGAGACACGGCCCAGACUCCUACGGGAGGCAGCAGUGGGGAAUAUUGCGCAAUGGGGGGAACCCUGACGCAGCAACGCCGCGUGAAGGAAGAAGGCCUUCGGGUUGUAAACUUCUUUGAUGAGGGACGAAACAAAUGACGGUACCUCAGGAACAAGCCACGGCUAACUACGUGCCAGCAGCCGCGGUAAUACGUAGGUGGCGAGCGUUGUCCGGAAUUACUGGGUGUAAAGGGCGUGUAGGCGGGGAUGUAAGUCAGAUGUGAAAUACCGAGGCUUAACUUCGGGGGUGCAUCUGAAACUAUGUUUCUUGAGUACUGGAGAGGGAAGCGGAAUUCCUAGUGUAGCGGUGAAAUGCGUAGAUAUUAGGAGGAACACCAGUGGCGAAGGCGGCUUCCUGGACAGUAACUGACGCUGAGGCGCGAAAGCGUGGGUAGCGAACAGGAUUAGAUACCCUGGUAGUCCACGCCGUAAACGAUGGAUACUAGGUGUAGGGGGUAUCGACUCCUUCUGUGCCGCAGUUAACGCAUUAAGUAUUCCACCUGGGGAGUACGGCCGCAAGGUUAAAACUCAAAGGAAUUGACGGGGGCCCGCACAAGCAGUGGAGUAUGUGGUUUAAUUCGAGGCAACGCGAAGAACCUUACCAGGGCUUGACAUCCUCUGACAGGCUAAGAGAUUAGCUUUCCCUUCGGGGCAGAGAGACAGGUGGUGCAUGGUUGUCGUCAGCUCGUGUCGUGAGAUGUUGGGUUAAAUCCCGCAACGAGCGCAACCCCUGUCCUAAGUUGCCAGCGAGUAAAGUCGGGUACUUUUAGGAGACCGCCGGCGACAAGUCGGAGGAAGGUGGGGAUGACGUCAAAUCAUCAUGCCCUUUAUGCCCUGGGCGACACACGUGCUACAAUGGCCGGUACAGAGGGCAGCGAAAGCGCGAGCUGGAGCGAAUCCCACAAAACCGGUCCCAGUUCGGAUCGCAGGCUGCAACCCGCCUGCGUGAAGUAGGAAUCGCUAGUAAUCACGGGUCAGCAUACCGUGGUGAAUACGUUCCCGGGCCUUGUACACACCGCCCGUCACACCACGAAAGUCUGCAACACCCGAAGCCGGUGGCCUAACCCGCAAGGGAAGGAGCCGUCGAAGGUGGGGCAGGUGAUUGGGGUGAAGUCGUAACAAGGUA